GCUCCUGCCCGGAGCCCUGCCCGUCUUGGGCCCGCCCUUCCGGGCCCUGCCGCGUUGAGUGGCGGAGUCGGGAUCCAGGUGGCCCGCCGGCCGGCUCAGUCCACCUCCCCGCUCCCGGCCUCGCGCCCCACCCCUUGGAUGAGAAAACUGAAACUGAGAGGGGACGUGACUGAUCCAACGCCUGGCAUUUCCAGCUCCGGAGCCCGCCACAAGAAGCUCCUAGCCCCACAUGAUGUGAAUGCACUGGGCCCCAGCCAGGAAGUGGAGACCCGUGAAGGAAGGAAUAGCAGCACUCUCCCAGCCAGCAGCAGCAGUUUCCCUUCCUCUUUCCUUCCCUGCCUGUGUGGGCCGUUCCCCCAUAGCAGCUCUAAUUUGAGAUGCCAGAGCCUGACCCGGAAUGGGGGCCCAACUCAGUGUCCCCUUCUCGGACAGCACAGUGGUCCCUGCAGUCCAUGCGCCAUCUGUCUCUUUGCCUCAGUUCUCCCCUGUGCCAUGACCUCCCAUCAGGGCCGGCAUAGGGGGCAUCAGGAGAAUGGGUGCAGUUGUCACCUGGAAACCUCAAAAUUCUUGGGGCCCAGUCAUGGUCACUAUACAGCAGCCACCCCUGUCCCCAAACACUGAAGGCCCAACCCAGAGCUGGAUCACAAGGAAGACUGGAAGCUCCACUCCCCCAUGGAGCUUCCCUGUUACCAGAGGACACAAACACACAUCUGCAUGUUGAUCUGAGAGCCCUGUGUGGAGAGGAACUAGGCCCCCAGCCAACAACCAGCAGUGACUCACUGUGAGAGAGUGAAUCAUCUUGGAAGUGGAUCCUAAGCCCCAAUAGAGACUUCAGAUGAAACUGCAACCCUGGCUGACAUCUGACUGCAGUGGCAUAAGAAACCCUUAUGUCAGAAUCACCCUGCAAAGCCCAAAUUCUUGACCCACCAAGUGAAAGAGAAUAAAUGACGAUUGUUGUGUUUGAA
ensembl:lncRNA novel transcript